GGGGAUGUAGCUCAGCAGUAUAGGCGCCUGCCUGGCAAGCACAAGAUUGUGAGUUCAAUCCCCAGUAUCCCCC
rnacentral:tRNA from 1 species